CAUGCACAACGUAAUGUAUUGCAUAAUUGCAAAAGGGUCAAGAAAGAAAGAAAGGAACGCGUAAACACUAAAGUGAAACUAACCGUUUGUGUAGCCUACAUUACCAAAACUUCCGCGUCUCCAAAACAGAAAAUCUGCAGUGAUAAUCUCGUUUAAAUGUGUUUUCAUGCAAGGCACUGGCAGUGAGUGCAACCUUUAAUAAAUACAUCAAAUGUUGUUAUAAUUUCUUUCCUUCAGUUCAUCUGAUUCACCUGUCAGCAUCGAUAAAGGAGCACCACUGGAUUAAAAUGCCAUGUCCAGCUAGCAUUGAACAAGGUGUAAAAUACAGGAGAAUCACCUGGCACAAGGUUGAAGAGGGUUCUGAUGUGCUGACUGGACUUGUUUUGAAGGAUUUGCAAAAAAACAUUACAACCCUCUAUAAGUUUGCAAAUUAUUCCUAUGAGACUGCAUAAAGCCUCAACUACAAGCGGUA
rnacentral:lncRNA from 1 species